rnacentral:rRNA from 1 species
CGGGUGAGUAACGCGUGGAUAACCUGCCUCAUACAGGGGGAUAACAGUUAGAAAUGACUGCUAAUACCGCAUAAGCGCACAGGACCGCAUGGUCUGGUGUGAAAAACUCCGGUGGUAUGGGAUGGAUCCGCGUCUGAUUAGCUGGUUGGUGAGGUAACGGCCCACCAAGGCGACGAUCAGUAGCCGACCUGAGAGGGUGGCCGGCCACAUUGGGACUGAGACACGGCCCAAACUCCUACGGGAGGCAGCAG